rnacentral:lncRNA from 1 species
UGAUUCUCUCUCUGCAAAAUGUGACCACAGAUGGGGAGUGGAAGGGCAUGGUGUAGGCCAUUUAAUACUUUCUUUUGUAACCUCUUCAGUGCCUCUUUCCUUAACAUGAUAUUAAAACCAGACUGGGAUUAUGGAUUUUUGGCAAGAAGACCACAGAGGUAUCACAUCAUAACAAGGACACAUUACUUAUCACUCAUGAUGCUCGCCUUGAUGAUCUGAUCGAGGUGGAAUUUGCCUGCUUACUCCACGCAAAUAAAAAUACAGUGAGAAGAGGCCACUGAAAUAUGGAAAAGAAGGUAAAUAACAACAUGACCUGUGAAGUGGAUGUAUAAGAUGAAAGGAAUACAACAUGUGACCAGAAAAUAGUACAGAAGAAACCAGGAAGAUAUAAAGUAAAGCAAGAACUUACGUUUGAUGAACGUCUUCAUCCUUACUUUAAAUAGUAGAUUUUCCAAGAUUACUAUUGACCUAUAACUAUGUACCAGAUACUACUGGCACUUUGCUUUACAAUCCCUAAUUCUCACAUCUCUAGUGAUCCUCAUUAUAAAUACAUGAUAUAUUUAGUCUAUGAAGUCUCAGUAACGUAGGGGUAAUGCCUAAGACCUAAUAGCCUGAUAGGCAAAGUCUGAAAGUGAAUACAUACCUAUAUGGAUCUACAAGAUAGACACUUUGAGAGUCUGCAUAUAAUCUUAAAAAUGAAUUUACUUAUGAUAGGUGAUUUGCUACAUUAGUUUGUCUUAUAAUAACUUGACAAAAAGCAAAUUUUGUUCUCUUUAUCGUAUGUUUUUCAGAGAGUCACUAAAUCCCUCAAGACUCCAGUUUGUUUGUAUGUUUGUUUGUUUGAUUGUUCAAUAAAG